UACAGAGGGCGCGAGCGUUGUCCGGAAUCACUGGGCGUAAAGGGCGCGUAGGUGGCCACUAUAAGGCCGCGGUGAAAGUUCGGGGCUCAACCCUGAAUCUGCCGCGGCGACUGUAGGGCUUGGGCACCGUAGAGGCAGAUGGAAUUCCGGGUGUAGCGGUGGAAUGCGCAGAUAUCAGGAAGAACACCUAUGGCGAAGGCAGCUCUCUGGGACGGUACUGACGCUGAGACGCGAAAGCGUGGGGAGCGAACAGG
rnacentral:rRNA from 1 species